rnacentral:rRNA from 1 species
UACGAAGGGGGCUAGCGUUGCUCGGAAUCACUGGGCGUAAAGGGUGCGUAGGCGGGUCUUUAAGUCAGGGGUGAAAUCCUGGAGCUCAACUCCAGAACUGCCUUUGAUACUGAAGAUCUUGAGUUCGGGAGAGGUGAGCGGAACUGCGAGUGUAGAGGUGAAAUUCGUAGAUAUUCGCAAGAACACCAGUGGCGAAGGCGGCUCACUGGCCCGAUACUGACGCUGAGGCACGAAAGCGUGGGUAGCAAACAGGG